rnacentral:lncRNA from 1 species
GAGACAGAGGUAAAGUAGUCACAGUUUUUGCAUUAGAGUGUGUUAAGUAUUUAAAUCAUAUUCAUUUUAUAUUCCCCGUAUCCUGGAGGCAGUAGAUCCUUGAGGUGAUAGGGAGUCAUCAAGAUGUUCUAGGGGAGACCCCAUUUUUGCAGAGGAGGCAGUUGAUAAUUGGGGUUACUGACUUGUUCAUGGUAUCAUACCUGUUCCUGAACUAAAGGAGCCAGAGAGAAAGACUCCAUGGUUUUUUGCCUCUUGUAUUUUUUUCUCAAAGUAUAUUAUCUCUCUAGGGAAUUCAUGAAUACAUUCCUACUAUUCCCAUUCAAAGUCUUAGGUUCUAGAGCUUGAAUCAACAUCAACAUUUAUCUGGUCAUUUUUUUUACUCUGGGUGUUAACCCCAUUUUCCAGAUUAAAACUGAGGCUCUUUUUGAUUAUAAACAAGUAGGGUUUGACCUAUAUACUUGGAAGCCCAAGUGUUGGCACUCCAGUGCUCCCCCUGGACCCUGAUUGAUUCAUUCAUUAAACAUGUCUUUAGGAACUGCUUGGGACAGGCAUUGUUAGGCAGUAGGAAGAGAUAAUUGAAUAAGAUUCAUUUCUUCAAGUAGAGCAUUUAUUCCAGAGUUGAGCUUUUGUCCCCUUCUUGAUUGUUGAGCUUUCCUCCAUGUUCCUAGGUCAAAUCUGGAUGGGCCUAUGGGAUUCUCACAUAGAAAAGAGUGGAGAAGGUCUGUGGAUGUAGCUCAGUGGUAGAGCCCUUGACAAGCAUGCAUGAGGUCCUGGGUUUGAUCCUUAGUACUGCCAAAAAAGAAAAGAAUGGAGAGCCUUAAGAGAGAGUACCAGAUCCUCUUGAGGGCCAUAUAAACCAAAAACAAAGACUUGGGGGGGCAUGUAGCUGAGUGGCAGAGCACUUGCUUAGCAUGUACAAUGAUGCCCUGGGUUCUAUCCCCAGCGUUAUGAAACAACUACCAAAAACCCCAAAGCAGAUCAGGGCCUGGGUAUUUACUAAACUUGCAGUGGAGUAAUGUAGUAGAAAUAAGGUGGACUUGGGCUUGGAGAAUGGCAGGCCAGCUUUGGGUAACAUUCAGUGAUUUGUUCUUCCCAGCCUCUCUUUUCUUAUAGGAUCUAUUAAGACCUAUAUAGGAUCUAUUAAGACCCUUUCAGUUGCAGGUUAUAUAAACAACUUGAAUUAGUUCAAGCAAAAUAGAGGAAUCUGGGUUUGCAUAAUCAAGGAUGGAUAGAUCAGCUUCACCAGUGUUUGGGAUGAGGGAAGCCAGGGGUUCCAAUACCUUUGGUGUGUCUUCCACUCCUCCUCUUCUUCUCUUGCUGCUUUCUGAAUAUUAUCAUAAUCAGGCUAAUUUUCCUUGGAGGACAAGCCACCCUGGCAUGUAGACCACAAAAGGAACACAGUGCUUUUGCUGUUGAUCAAGUUAGUCAAGUCCUGGAGAAAACCCCCAGUUGGCCGCAGUUGGGACUUGGGCCUGUUCCUGCUCCAAUCAUGGUGACGAGGUGGUGUGUUGUGUUCUGGCUGACUCAGGACUAACCUCUAUAUUCACUUUGGAGAGAAUGUUGUACCUUGCCAGUGGGGCAAAAAACUCUGAAAUACUGUACCUGGAAACUUCUGCAUUGUCUAGAGGGCUGGUUCAUCCUUCAGCCACCCAGAAGCUUCCUUUUAAAACUAGUAUUUAGCCCUAUGUAUGAUAGGGACUUGAUAUCUAUUAUAUAUUAUUACAUUCACUUAAUAAAUCAGGAAAUCGAGACUUAGAGACAUGGAGUAAUUUACUUGGGUCACAUGCUCAUUGCAGAAUUGCAAUCCAGGUCAUUGUGCAGAUUCUUCCUUAAGGAAAGAGACUGUCUUCUUUAUGUUAUAAACCUGGAAACUAGCCCAGAGGCUGGCUUACAGGAACUCAGUGGAUUCAGGCACCUCAGUGAUAAUGUGGCAAUAUUCCUGUCUCCCCACCAAAAGUAUUCACACUGGGGAAAGAGAUAGCUUUGGAUGGACACCAACUUCAGUGAAUACAACUAAGAUCUAGUGUCUUAAGAAUCCCUUGAGCAUGCUCUGAGAACAGUGAGUAACGGCUGGUAUCAUUCAUCUACAGCCAUGUGCUCAAGCAGGAUGGUUUUGCCCCACAGGGGACAUUGACAAUGUCUGGAGAUAUUUUUGGUCACCAGAAAUUGAAAUGGUGUGGAUGCUACUAUCGUUUAGUAGGUAAAGGCCAAGGAUGCUCAUAAAAAUUCCUACAAUGUGCAUGUUAAAGAAUUGACCAACCCCAAACAUCAAUAGUGUCAAUGUUGAGGAACUCUGAUUUCUUGUAAGCCAAGCUCAAAGUGAAAUCACGAGCUGACACAGCCCAAAUGCUAGAUGUCAUGGAGUAGACUAGAAAAUAGUGGUAAAAGCAGCCAUUUACUUCUCAGUGGCUGGAUCAGAAUUAUCUCAGGUACAUGAUAAGAAAAUAGAUUCCUGGGUCCCUCCAAACCCUACUAAACUAGAAUUUCUGAGGUCUAUAAUUUUAUCAAGCAACUGAAGUGUUUCUUAUAUUCAGCCAGGUAUAGAGACCACCAAUUUGAAUUAUAUAAUUUAGUGUCCAUUCUUUUUGUCACUAUCCUCCCUUUAAUUUGCUGUGUCAAAUAAUCAUGUCAACAUUGACUAGCAUUUAUUAAAAACUCCUUUGCUUAGCAUUGUGCUAAAUCUUCAAAUAAUUUUAGUGCUUAUCUGAAUCCCUUGGGAAGCUUGUUAGAUCAGCUCUUACCAUAUUGUUUCUACAUGUCUCAAACCUCCCCAUCCUUCAAAAUCCAACCCCAACUUAUAUGCCAUCCGUUCUGUUACAGGGCCUGACUCUGGACCUACAUGGAGGACGCUUAUCUUGCUCAUUGUGUAGCAAGAAAGUGCUAACAUAGAAUUCUAUGUUUUGGGACAGAGUGCUGUCAGAACACUGGCAAGCACAAUUUCCUUGCUCCCUUUGAAAGGAGUUAUAUGGCAGUUUUUGAACUCUUGGUGUCUGGACUCCUGUAAUAUGAUAUGUUGCAUAUCACCUCUGGCCUAUUGUGACUAUUAUAGGUAAAUUGGCACAUCCCCACUACAAAAGCUAUUUUUGCUGUACAAUAAAGCAGAUAAAGUUCUCUGAAA